UCUUCUGGCUUGUAGAGUUUCCUAUGAGAAUUCAGUGACAGUGACUGCCCUCCCAUUACACAGUGUUGCCGAGAAUGGUGGAACUGAGAGCGAUUUGGAUGACAAAAGACAUCUUCACAAACUUUGCCGUAUUAAAUCUUCACAGCAAUGCUGGUUGUGUAGACAAGAUAGCUUGCUCCAUUGACUUGUGAGAAAACUAAGCUGUGAGAAUGAAAUGACUCUUGAGGGAUCACCCGGAGAAUAGCCGGCAGGCUGCGUUAAAAGCCAGAGUGCUUGUGGCUGGAUAAUGUGCAAAGGAAGGAAGGUUAUUUGGCUCAGAAUUUUGGUGAGUCGAAGUCCAAAUGGCAUGGAACUGGCAUGGUGAGCGUCCUGCUGAUUGUGUCCCAACA